UAGUGAGUUUGAUCCUGGCUCAGGAUGAACGCUAGCGGCAGGCCUAAUACAUGCAAGUCGAACGGUGGUAGCAAUACCAUAGUGGCGCACGGGUGCGUAACGCGUAACCAACCUGCCCUGAACUGGGGGAUAGCCCGCCGAAAGGCGGAUUAAUACCGCAUAAACCAACAGAACGGCAUCGUUUAAUUGGUAAAGAUUUAUUGGUUCAGGAUGGGGUUGCGUGACAUUAGCUAGUUGGCGGGUAACGCCACCAGGCGACGAUGUCUAGGGGACCUGAGAGGGUGAUCCCCCGACACUGGCACUGAGAUACGGGCCAGACUCCUACGGGGAGGCAGCAGUAGGGAAUAUUGCACAAUGGGGCGAAAGCCUGAUGCAGCGACGCCGCGUGAGGGGA
rnacentral:rRNA from 1 species